GAAGCCAGGCGCUUUUCUCUUCCCCUCCCCAAGACUACCUUUAUCUGAAAGAAGAAAGAAGGAACUGUUACAUUUUGCAUGCAAAGAAAGCCAGAGUGGCUAGAUUACUCCCUUAGGGUAAUGGAGAAAGGAAAAAGAAAUUGAAAAAGGUCAGGUGAACAAAGCAGAAGGAAUGAAGAGGUUUGUGUGAUUCUUAGUGAAAUUGGACCAGUCUAAGCAACCAGACAGAGUUUCGCUCUUGUUGCCCAGGCUGAGUGCAAUGGCGCGAUCUCAUCUCACUGCAACCUCUGCCUCUCGGGUUCAAGUGAUUCUCCUACCUCAGCCUCCUGAGUAGCCAAGAUUACAGUCUUUGCUACAGCAGUGUGUUCCUCUCAAGUCACCCACUCGUUCCUCCAGGGGUCAUUGGAGAGUUAUUAUUUUAAGUCUAGUUCCCAGGUAUGACUUCCAAUGCAGUGAAAGCUUCUACUGAGACUGUCUAAAACAUCUCUUGAAUCAUCUGCCUAGAACACAGCAAGAACCAGGAAAUGAGCUGACAAGACUGAGCAAAAGAGGCAGCAUCAAGCUGAUGAACUGAGGCGUGGGCAUUUUACUCAUGGGAAAGGCCCUCGGAACCCACGCUGAGCAUGCGCUGAAAACAAGUGUGAUCAGUGGGUUCCAAACACCCAGCAGAUACAUGUGAGGGUGAUCUGGCUGUGACAUCUGUCACCCCCUUGAUUACCAGGGUUGAUUCGGUUGAUCUGGCUGGCUAGGUGGGUGUCCCUUUCCCCACUUACUGCUCCAUGUGUGUCCCUCCUGAAUCUGUGCGCUUGGUUGAAGAGGAUGACCAUCCCGGAUAGAGGAGGACCAGUCUUUGGUCAAGGGUAUACAAGUAGCUGUGCCCGCUUGCUAGAACCUCCAAACAAGCUCUCAAGGUCCAAACAUCCAGCAGAUAAUUAGCAAUGGAUUAGAAAAGGGAGCUGGGAAGGUGGAAGGAAGCAGAAACAGUGAGCCCCCGAAUGAAAGAGACAGAAAAACUGAAACCUCAGAAGAGAGCAGUGUGGGGCUAAUGAACCUAAAGGCAAAGGGCCCUACCCAUCAACAGCCCCCAUGAGGGUAGUCACUGGGGGGCCUGAGGAUGCACCAUCAGGGAGAAGUUCAGUUCAGUGUAAUCUGUGGAAGAAAGCAGAGAGCACAGCCUGUCAUGGAGAAGGAUUUCCAUUCAAAACCAUAGAUGUCAUAGAAGUUUCGAUGCUUAAAAGACCUGUGAUCGUCUAGAAAGCUUGGCUUUUCCCAAAGGAUUCUGUGAGGCUGAAGUGUUACCAGGUGAUUAAGGGUCUCACCCUGUCACCCAGGCUAGAGUGCAGUGACACAAUGAUAGCUUAUUGUAACCUCAAACUCCCGGGCUCAAGGGAUCCUUCUGCUUCAGCCUCCCAAGUAGCUAGGAUUACAGUGCAGUUCAGGAAACCAGGCUGAAGAAUGUGAAAUACAUCGCCCAAAGUCAGACACGGAGGAAUGACUGCUUCGGAGCUAGCAAGUUCCUGAGCUGGAAUUGCACCACUGGCCUGUAGAAUCCAAACUGUUUUCUACCAGAACAACUCCUUCCCUGCAGGAAGCAGGGUGUGCACAGCUGAACCCUGGUCUGAGAAGGUUGAAGUCACUGACUCAGCCCCAGCAAGGAAGUUGCCCUUCGACUUCUGACCUCUGGCCCUGUUUGAAAACCAACUCAAAUCGUUUUUCUUUUUCAGAAGCUGCUUGCCUCCGCUUCACCUUCCACCAUGAAGUUUCCUAAGGCCUCCCAGUCAUGCUUGCCGUUAAAACUGCGGAACUUAAAUUUCCACGUAGAAGACAGGCAUUGUUGACCUUUAUCACUGACCUUAAAGUAGCAGAUGUUUCAUAAUUCAACUGUCUGCUGGCACUGUGAACUUGAGAAAAUGCCCUAAUCACCGUUAAUCUGUAAAAUGGGAAAAGAAACAGGAAAAAGAAAGGAUGAUGCCAAAGAUUAGAAUGAUAAAGAUGACGUUACCUGUCACGGGUCUAUUCUGGGCUGGAAUGGGAGUGGGAGUGGGUGAGGUGGAGUGGAGUGGGAAGGGGUGGUAAUCUGUGGGACUUUUCUGGGUGGCAAGAAGAAGUGGAUCACGAAAAUCACCUUUAUCCUGGUCAGGUGAUGGCUGUGAAUGGCUCCCUUUGACACUGAAGAUGUUCCAGUUGGGAAGCAGAUGUCCUGCAGGGGCCCUGCAGUAAUGGUAGCAGUUAUAAUAUUGACGUGAUUGCUGCUGUAGAAGAGAUGCCAGCUUUUGUCUAAGAGGAAUCUGAACAGGUCUGGGCUUAUGUGUUGAAUUGGUAUGGCAGGCUUGCCAAAAGAUUGUUAUAAAUUAAGGAUUCUUUGGGGAAGGGAUUCUUUAGGAAGACAGGAGCAACCGGGCAUGAUAACCAAUCUUAGAUCUCCAAAGGGGAUGGUGAUUUGUGCCUCUAAUCAAAGUUCCCUCCUCAGAGAGACCUUCUCAGAUCAUCUUAUCUGAACUGAUGCUCUCCCUACCUCAUAUCUCUUAUAAAAAGAUACUCCUUCACGCUUUAACAUUUUUCUCUGUGGCAUUUAUUAUCUAAAAUGAUCUUACUUAUUGCUUUGUUUGCUUAUUUAUCAUCUUUUCUCUCAUUGACCAGAAAGGAGGUUUCACAUCAGGGACUUCUUUUUUAUUUCUACUCUAGGCCCGAUGGCUAGAAGAGGGCCUACUGCAGAGUUGGUGUGCAAUGAGAGAAUGAAUAUUGUCCAGAGAAGAAGCUGUCUCAAAUUUUUCCCUAACACAGCCUCAUAGAGGCUGUAUAGAGAGAAGUUUAUAAGCAAAAACUGAAAGACUAACUAGGAACCCUGGGACCCAUGGACCUUAACAGAUCCUGGGCCUCAUUCAACAGCAGGACUAUUAGCCCACACCCCUUUUUCCCUUUAGCUGUUUGGAUCCUCCAAGUGUCCCAGCUCAAGGCAGCAUAAAAGCCACCUGAAACGUGUCCCACUGUGGGAGCCCAAGGCUUUAAGGCAUGUUCAUUCCUUUAGGAGCAUUUAGGAAGAUGGUGUUUCAGGAUUUCAGAAUCCUCUGAGCAUGAAACCCCAAAUGUGACCUAGGUACCUCCUUAGGUCACAUUUGGGGUUUCAUGGCCCCUCUUCUCAAUCCAGACUUUGACCAUAAGUCAGAGAGAAUGAUAUAGUCUCUGUGUUGCCCUCUGGAGGAUCUAAGAGGGCCAAAGUAUUAUACAGGCAGCACAUGACUACAUAAGGAGGUUGCAGGAAGUAGGGAAAACAUUAGACUUUGAUCUUAGGUAGGUCCUAAGGUAGGUAGAAUGCUAGUUCUUUCAUUUGAUAACUUUGAAACAUACUCAAAGUAUUUAACUUUUCUUUUCUUUUCUUUUUUUUUUUUUUUUGAGACGGAGUCUCACUCUGUCGCCCAGGCUGGAGUGCAGUGGUGUGAUCUCGGCUCACUGCAAGCUCCGCCUCCCAGGUUCACGCCAUUCUCCUGCCUUAGCCUCCCGAGUAGCUGGGACUACAGGUGCUCGCCAUCACGCCCGGCUAAUAUUUGUAUUUUUAGUAGACACGGGGUUUCACCGUGUUAGCCAGGAUGGUCUCGAUCUCCUGACCUCGUGAUCCGCCUACCUCGGCCUCCCAAAGUGCUGGCGUGAGCCACCACGCCCAGCCAGUAUUUAACUUUUCUAAGCCUCAAUUGUCUGUCAAAUGUAAAUAAUAAUAUGUUGGUAAAUUUGGAGUAAUUCCCUGUAGUCUGAGUCUCCUUACUGAACUGACUACAGUUGGCUCUUUGUAUCUGCAGGGGUUGCACCCUUGGAUUCAAUGUACCAAAGAUUAAAAAUGUUUUAAAAAAGCCCCAAUAAAACAAUACAAAAAAUACAGUAUAACAACUGUUUAUUUAUCAUUUACAUUGCAGUAGGUAUUAUAAGUAAUCUAGAGAUGAUUUAAAGUAUAUGGGAAGAUGUGUAUAUGUUAUAUGCAAACUCUGUGCCAUUUUAUGUAAGAGACUUGAGCAUUCUCCGGUUCUGGUAUCCUCAGGGGUCUUGGAACCAAUCCCCUGUGGAUAUGGAGGGAUGACAGUAUAUGGAUUAAAUUUUCUUCAAGGCCGAUGAUGAGAGUUACUCUGUGUUUCAAGCUAUAUAUCUUAAUGGGCAAAAGAUUAAGCAGUUCAAACCAGACAAUUGCUGUGACUAUUUACAGAUACCCAGAGAUGCUUUCAGGGGGUAAGAUUUGGGAAGACAAUGGUCAACUGACCUAUCCUCACCUCCCUCUGCAGCCUCAUUCAGGUGCCAGUACCCACCACUCUGCUCUAAGCCCAGAGACUCAGAUUCAGUGAAGAGUUUUACUGUCAGUUAAGGGGAUGUUAGGAAAAUGCCUGGUUUUAGCUCCAUUUCUUUUAUCUGUACACUAAAGGAUAGAUUUAAAAGGCCUCUUCCAGCUCUUAAGUUAUACGGGAUGACUUUUACUAUCCAGAAGUGGAUCCCCAGGGCAACAUAGUUGUAGGAAGUUAGAGAUGAGGUUUCUAUUGCUAUUAUGUUAGUUUUAGGACCAGGGAAACAGGAAUACCUGAAUCCACUUAGUACUCCUCCCCUCAGUUUUCUAGGUAAGGAGCUGUUUAAGAACAGUAGCUAAAUGGAUAUGAAAUCUCUGCUAUAUUAAUAGCUGACCAGUGAACACUGACCUCCAAAGCAUGCCUCUGGCGGAAGCUGAGUUGGAGAAUCCGGCUAAGGCAUGAGGACUUAAGCGAGGCUGUUACGCUCUCCUUCUCGAUUCUGAGAUGGCCGCCAUUUCUGCGGAGGGCUCCCUACCUUAACCUGGUUAGAUGAUGAGUAGGCCACAUAGAGAUGUAGAAAGCCUGGUGAGGCCAUCUUCUUAGGUUUAGGCCUAGAACAGAGGGACAGUUUAGGUGAGGAUUCCAGAAACAGACUCUUGGGCUAGGAUACAGGUGCAAGUGACUUAUUAAGGAAGGGCCCCCAGGGGAGACCUGCAAGGGCGUGGAGGAAGAGACUAGGGAAGGGGCAGAGCCAAGCAAGGGCGCAUUCCAGAUGAGCUCCCAGACUCAGCCUGAUAUCGUGGGGAGCUCUGGAGUGUCACUGACAUCUCAGGUUCUUUUCCCCUGAGGUGUGGACGUUGUGCUUUUUACUUAU